rnacentral:lncRNA from 1 species
AGAGCCUGGGAUCCAGGAAUCUGGCUCUGCAGUGGGUUGGAAAAGGGUGGAUUUGUGGCUCCUGAAUGACUUUGGUGACUGACGGUGGUGUUCUUGCCAGGGUGAUGUUGGUGUUCCUGGAGAGAGGGGUCUGCCAGGACCCAGAGGAGCAACCGGCCCACUUGGUCUUCAAGGCCCCGUGGGAGCCCCCGGUGUCAGAGGUUUCCAGGGUCCCAAAGGUGCCAGCGGUGAGCCUGGCCUUCCUGGUCCAACUGGAAUUCGUGGAGAGCCAGGUGACAGGGUAAGGAGAAGACAUCUGUAACCAAUUCCUGUUCGGGAGAUGUGAAAUUAGAGCCUAACGGAGUCCCCAGACACGGGGUAGCUGAUGUCACCCCAGCAAACACGAGCAGGGUGGGUAGAAGGUGGGUUCCUUGGGUGUCCCAGCCCAUCCUCUGGGGCUGUGAUGUGCCCGAGACGGACACUGGGGCAGGCAGCAGGACUGUGCUGUUCCUGUCCUUGCUUCCAUCUCAGUUCAGCAGCUCACACUAUUUUCAGACGGCAGGAAUUGUUCAAAAGAGACUUUGGGCUCCAUUUCUAGCCAGAAUAGAGGACUGAUUGGGAUUUUUCCUGCUCUGUGUGCUGAUUUCACCAAAGCUUUGCUCCCCAGGAGCACAGGGGGACAGCGUUUUUGUCAUUCAGGUGCUUGAUUAGGAUUUCUGGAUUAUUUUUUAAAAAAAUUACAGUUUACUCAAGUGAUUUCCCUUCUGAACAGCAGC